GUUUUACUAGAUGUAACAAAUCAGAGUUUAGUUUCCUCAGAUAUUAGUCCAACUUUUGAUAAAAAUAAUGAUUCCAAUGAUUCUUCUAUAGGAAUACAAAGUACUGAAAAUAUCGACAGAGAUAAUCCUACAGUCCAAUAUGAGGCUAAUAACAAUGUGUAAGUUUACAGCAUACAGAUUGAAAUAUAUUUUAUACUGCUUAAUUUUUUGUGGUUGUUUGAAAUAAUCUAUAAAUUAUCUGUGAAAUUGGGGACCAGUAACACGAGUAAAAUUAUUUUCGACAUUAAUAAUUUUUAAUAAGUAAUAGAAGUUUCUAUUAACAUUUGUUUUUAGAUCACAGGAAUUGUAUAACGCUGAUUCACUUGAAUGCAACAUCCCUAGGUAUAUUUUGAUAUACUUUUUUGUAUUAUGAGAUUGUUACAUAAUGAGAAAAGUUGUGAACUAUAUUAAUUUUCUUUUAUUCCAGAACUGAAAUGUUAAUGAAUAAGUUAGGGGAUUUGAAGAGACAAAAUGAUGAAUUACAGAAAAAGUUGGAACUGAAAGAUAUUGAAAUGCGAGAACAGCAUAAACUAUUCCAAAUACAAUUAAAAGACAAAUUACAUGAAAUUUUAUCUCCAAUAUUUACACCUGGCCAGAUAAGGAAGUUGUUACAUCCUAAACAAAAAAAUGUAAAGUGGUCCAGCGAAGACAUUGCCUCGGCCAUAGCUUUAAAAAGUGUUAGCUCUAAGGGUUAUAGAUAUUUGCGGAAAAAAGGCUACCCACUGCCACUGGGUUAAGUACGUUGAGAAAAAGGGCUGCUAAAGUGAACAUUGACGAGGGAAUUGUGAAUCAAUUUUAUUGUCUAUGAAAGACAAAGCAAAAAACAUGUCAGCACGAGAAAAAAUUUGUGUUUUAUGUUUUGAUGAAAUUCAUAUAUCUCAAAACAUUGAGAUUGACAAAAAAAAAGAAAAACGCGUUGGGCCUCAUAAGACUGUUCAAGUUGGAAUGGUCCGAGGCUUAUUUUCGAACUGGAAACAACCGAUCUACUUUCCUUAUGACCAACCUCUAUCAGACGAUAUAGUUUUAGACGUGAUAGAAGAUCUUCAUGAAGCUGGCUAUACUGUAUGUGCUUUAACAACUGACAUGGGCCCAAGUAACUUGGGUCUUUGGAACUCUUUAAAAAUCAAUCAAGAUAGUGAAGAAAAUUGUCACUUUACUCACCCAUGUGACGAUUCACUGAAAGUCUUUGUUUUCGCAGAUGCCCCGCAUCUGUUAAAACUCAUUCGAAGCAACUUAUUUGAUAGUGGCUUUAACAUAAACGGUAAAUUGAUAACAAAAGAUAGUUUGGAAAGAUUAGUCGCUGUUAAUAACAAAGACUACAAAAUUGCUUAUAAACUAGAGCAAAAACAUUUGGAUGUGAAAGGGUCGGAACGACAAAAAGUGUCUUUCGCUGCUCGUGUCUUCUCCAAUACAACUGCUGAGGCUGUAAGGUAUUGUGGCAUUAAUGGCUAUUUGGAUAAACCAGGCAAUGAAUGCACUGACUAUGAGGAGUGUGCGGAUAUGUUAUCAUUGGGAAAUAGCUGAUUUGAUGUGAUGAACUCUAAAAGAAAAAAAAAAGGAAUAAUUGUUUCAAAUACGUCUUUACAGCAAUUAUUACCUUAUUUGCAAGAGAAAUAUGGACAACAAUUUGAGGUUUCUUAUAUUAUGACGAGAAGAUUAAAUCAAGAAGUCUUGGAAAAUUUCUUUUCCUAUUUACGAGCAAUGGGCGCAGCUCACGAUAAGCCUUCGUCAUUACAGUUCAAAUAUCGCUUUAGAACAGGGAUUCCCAAACCAUUUUAGGCAAGAGACCCCUUUUCCUAACUGAACUGAUACCUCAGACCUCCGUAAUUACUUUACAAUUAAUUAAAAAAUUGUAUCUCUAUUUUUUUUCUAUUGAUACAAAAUACUUACCAAUUUAGAAACUUUGCGGUUGGUUAAGUGAACUUGAUAUUCUUUAGUCAUCAAAAUUUAUCAAAAUAAAUACAAUAAAUAUCAAGUGGAAUUAAUAAUUAUUAAUACAAGUUACGUAAGAAUACUUGAGUAGGAAUUGUUUUUCGAAAAAACAUUUAAGUCGCAGAGUAAAGUAAAAAAAAUGAAAAAUUCAGUGCGAUGGAUGAAUCUGGUGACUUUCUACCAAUCUAGCUAAUUUCUUUUUAAUAUUGGUGAGUUGUAGCCUUAAAUCGCCACGUUCGUUGAUUUUCAAACGACCUUUGUUUUGUCAAAAUGUUUGUAACCACGCUGAAGCCUUUUUCGACGAGGUAAGUUGAUGAAAAAGCGAUAAGGUAUUUUUCACAUUAUUCCACAAUGCAGGAUAAUGUGUUUUAAUGUUGCGUUGCAACCAGAAUUUCUGAUAGUUUUGAUUGAACUUCUCCUUAACCUCCUCGUCUGUGCUGACGGUAAUCAUAUGAUUUUUUGCACGUUAAAUGAAAAAAAGGUAGAAGUUCGAAAGAUUUUUGCGAUUUCAGAGUGGAGCACAGCGAGGCUGAAUUUUUUUUGGAAAAGAGCAUACAUUACGUAUAUUGUCCUUUCGAUUCGAUUUUUUAGAAGCUCUGUACGUCUUUUUUGCCCGAGAAACCUACAGUAUUAUCAUUCAAGUUCCGACGAAAUUGAAAAGGCAAGUGCAAGCGCGUCCUAUAGUCAAAUAUCCGGAGCAUUUUUGGACUUCAACUUUAUCAUAAUCUCGUUCGGGUUAAAUUGCGUAUAUGCGCCUAAAACAGUGCAAGUCAAAACAUGCCUGAAAGAUUUAUAGGCUUGAACACAUUAUAUUCAUCUUCUACGAACGUGUGCACGCUUAUCGAUUGAUAAGUUUUUUUAAAAGUACAAGAAUGAUACUUCCUACUAAAAUAUUAGUCAUUCUCAUAACAAGUCGGUACCUCUAGAACAAGUAUCUAAAAAAAUUUAAAUAAGAACUCGGGUUAAAUAAUACGGGCCGAUUUUUAGACGUCGUCGACCCCCAAAAACAGUUUUCGCUUAUGUCGACCCCUUGGAAACCGAUAUGGACCACAAGGGGUCAAUAUCGACCACUUUGGGAAUCUCUGCUUUAGAUGGUACGUUUUAGGUAAACAUAAUGAAGAUAUGAUAAUUGAAAAGUGUAAUGUUGAAAAUGAUGAAGAUGCGACGUUGGUUGAUAUUGAGGAUGCUCAGUUACAUUUUGAUACUUCGAUGGGUUCAGUAGACGAAAUUAUUAACGCAGGAGAAGACGAUGAAGAGGUUGACUUUGUGCUUAGUACAAAUGAUCCAGGUAUAUUACUCAAUGUUUAAUCAUAAUAUCCUUGUAUGGUUUGUUAUCAACCAUAUUAAACAGUUUCGACUGGAGGAAUUUGAAAUUAUAAUUAUCUAUAAAUUCACAGUCGUAUUAAAACUAAUUAUAUGAAGUUAGAAUUAUCGUAAGUACAUAGUACGUGAAAACGUGAAACAUAUUUAAGUAAAGUUAUUUUUUAUACAACCAGUAAUCGUGUUUUACUUAUAUGUAUUUAUUUAAACGUUCAAGUUGUUAUUGAUAUUAAUUAUUCUACAGAAUGCAGCUGCGUGUAUUACGAUUUUUUAAUGUUCAUUUUAAAUUUCAUUUUUAAAAUAACAUUAUUUUUUCUUAGAUGAUGAUGAUGCAUCGAUUGACGCUCAAGAGUUAGUUGAGCAAAUUAUCGAACAAGAAGGUCUCGUCUAUGUAGCUGGAUACGUUGCUCAUAGGUUUCGAACUAAAUAUCCUUUCCUUGGUAAACCUACUGAAACUAUGCCUCUUACCGAUCCUCCUACCUGGAUAGCCCAUAUUUCUCGAGGAAAACUACUUUAUCCUAGCCAAAACUUGUUGAAUGCCUCUUAUGUGUUAGAAAUUAUUUUUAAUGAGUUUCACGGUAAUUUUUUUAUCGAACGAAGAUCUUAUUUUCACCAAACUUGCUAAGAAAGUCAACGAUAAAACGCCAAUUGAGUUUAAAACGCUUUAAUGUGCCUAGCUAGGACUAGAACGUAUAUUAGGUUGAAAGAAUUAAAUAAAUUGAGACAGCAAUCAAACCCAAAAAUUCGAUCACACGCGAGAAUUGCAGCAACACGAAAACACAUAACUUGAUCAAUUUUAUCAGUUUUGUCGAUACUCAAAUGUUUCUCUGUUGAUAAUUUUAUUUAUUACUUAGUUGUUGUAAUAAAAAAUUGUUUGCAAAAGUCUAAAACGUAUAUGAAUUUAUUCUCACUCCACAAAAAAACCAAUUAUUUUUAUGUGUAGAUCUUUAACAGAAUAACAGAAACCUAUCUAUAUAAUUUUUACACAAACACAUAUUUAUUUUGUUCAUUUUAUUUACAAUAGUUUCAGUUAUAUCAUCUUAAAACAUUUAAUUCAGAUUCAAAUUUUAUAUUUUCUUAGUUCAAACAUUGAUCCACACGAUAAAAAAAAUAAACAUAUUAAAUGAAUGUAAUUGCAUCUUCAUAGCAUCCAGUAUCCAAUUUCGCGCAAAGUCAUGUGAUUGGCUGAAUUUCCAACAUGGCGGCAUUUUGGAAGUUUUUUUCAUUGGUCGUGCGCAAGAACACACCUUGUCUCUAUUACACCAUGGGCUAAACUUACAACUAAAAUAAUAAAAAGAUAUUAAAAAGCGUUAAAUUCUACAAAAAAAAGUUACUCUUCUUUGAUUCGUGUAACUCAAUCGGUUAUCGAGUUAUUCGAUUUAUUUGCUUCUAAAAAGUUCAAUAAAUUUCAAUUUUUUCAUAAAAAAUUUUUAUUAUUCCUUAAAUAUGUAACAAUAACAAAUUUGUAAACAAAAAUAAAAAACUUCGAAGCAAAUGCUCAAAAUGCCCACCAUUUACUUCAAUACACUUUAUGAUCCGCUUUCGUAAAGAUCUCUUAAUUUUCGAAAGUACAGUGAAAAUUUAUAAACAUUUUCAAUUUUAACAUUCUGUCAAUAUGUUAAAAAAAUAAUUAUAUAGAUGAAAAAAUCCUGCAUAGGAUCCGUGUUCGAUUGUUUUAACAAAUUCAAUUGUUAAAAAAGACACAAAAAAGUAGGCAAUGUCCUUCUUGAUGGUAUAUCAAAAAUGAAAAAUAACACGUAAACAAAAUACUGCGAAAAAACUCCAGUACGCUCAUUUUCUAAGUAAAUGAUUACAUUUUUAAAGAACAAGCAGACAAUUAAUUUUUUCACAAAGUGCGCUUUUAUUUUCAUUACUUAAGAAAGAAAACUUGAAAUGUUAAAUAUAUUGCCUUUUAUCUUUUCCACAACAUGUUCAUUCUGAAAUAUUUAUCAAUAAUUACUGAUAGCUUUAGCCAAAUUUAUCAUGAAUUGUGUUCCUCUGCGAAAUGUAUACAUUAUUUAUUUCCAGUGAAAUUGACAUGUACAAUACAUUUCACUAUCCACCCUUUGCAAGAGGGAAUACGUAUAGAAUCUUAAAAAAAUUUAAUUCUUUUUUCAUGAAUAUCUUGUAAAACUUUUCAAAAAUAUAGAUCCAAAAGAUUAAGUCAAAAUUCCUAUUCCUUCGCAAGUUAUAAGCGGUUUAGUAAGUGCCUUUCGUUAGUUAAGAGAUAUAAGCUGUUUUCUCGCGGUUAAAUUGGUUUAACCGAGUUCAAAUAAUUUUGAAACCAAGCAAGUGAUGACGUCACAUUGAAACUGGUUCAAAAUAAUUUGAAACAAAACUGAUCCUCGUUUUAAAAUAGAGAUAUGCGCAUUAUGUCAAAAAAAUGUCAAUAAAAUGUUUAGAUUA